rnacentral:rRNA from 1 species
AGCAGCCGCGGUAAUUCCAGCUCCAAUAGCGUAUAUUAAAGUUGUUGCAGUUAAAAAGCUCGUAGUUGAAUUUCGGGGUUAGUAGGUUGGUCAUGCCUCUGGUAUGUACUGGUCUCACUGAUUCCUCCUUCCUGAUGAUCCGUAAUGCCAUUAAUUUGGUGUUGCGGGGAAUUUGGACUGUUACUUUGAAAAAAUUAGAGUGUAUAAAGCAAGCUAACGCUUGAAUACAUUAGCAUGGAAUAAUGAAAUAGGACGUUCGAUCCUAUUUUGUUGGUUUCUAGGAUUGACGUAAUGAUUAAUAGGGAUAGUUGGGGGCAUUAGUAUUCAAUUGUCAGAGGUGAAAUUCUUGGAUUUAUUGAAGACUAACUACUGCGAAAGCAUUUGCCAAGGAUGUUUUCAUUAAUCAAGAACGAAAGUUAGGGGAUCGAAGACGAUCAGAUACCGUCGUAGUCUUAACCAUAAACUAUGCCGACUAGGGAUCGGAUGAUGUUAAUUUUUUAAUGACUCA